rnacentral:tRNA from 1 species
GGGGCCGUAGCUUAAGAGUAGAGUGCCUGUGGUUGACGCUCAGGAGGUGCGGGUGCGAUUCCCGUCGGCUCCACCA